GCGGGAAUAGCUCAGUUGGUAGAGCACGACCUUGCCAAGGACGGGGUCGCGAGGCCGAGUCUCGUUUCCCGCUCCA
rnacentral:tRNA from 1 species